UUUCCGUAGGUGAACCUGCGGAAGGAUCAUUACUGAGUGAGGGCCCUCUGGGUCCAACCUCCCACCCGUGUUUAUUGUACCUUGUUGCUUCGGUGCGCCCGCCUCACGGCCGCCGGGGGGCUUCUGCCCCCGGGUCCGCGCGCACCGGAGACACCAUUGAACUCUGUCUGAAGAUUGCAGUCUGAGCAUAAACUAAAUAAGUUAAAACUUUCAACAACGGAUCUCGUGGUUCCGGCACCGAGGAAGAACGCAGC
rnacentral:misc_RNA from 1 species